rnacentral:lncRNA from 1 species
AGAAUGAGAUUAGAGGAUACAAAUUGUUCUGCAACUUGUUCUUUUUACCUGACAACAUAUCUGGGCCAUUUUUCCAAAACUGACCUUCCCCUUUUUAAUCCCUACAUAAUAUUCCAUGAUUUGGAUGUCCUAUAGUUUAUUUAACCAUUCUCCUGCCUCAGACACUCAAGGUGGUUUUCUUUUUUUUCAAUCACUAUCUGGUUCCUGGCCUCAGGUCUCCAAGCUCCCAUCUGCCUUCCGUGCCACUGCUCAAUUGCGACACCCAGUCUAUCAUCCCCAACUCAGCUGUGUUCCCUGUGUUAGGGUUAUACACGAGGUGUCUUAUCUCCCCUUCCAAGUGUCUGCCUUGGAGGUCCUGACAAGGAGCACACUCAGCCUGUCAACUACAAUUUUGGAGCCAAUCUCAGUGCUGCCCCGGGCAAGAGGAAGGAGGUUCUCAGGCCACACCGAUACUUUCUUUUCAUAUAUAUCUGUUUUUGUUUGUUUGUUUGUUUGUUUGUUUGUCUUUUUGCUAUUUCUUUGGGCCGCUCCCGCGGCAUAUGGAGGUUCCCAGGCUAGGGGUCGAAUUGGAGCUGUAGCCACCAGCCUACGCCAGAGCCACAGCAACGCAGGAUCCAAGCCACGUCUGCAACCUACACCACAGCUCACGGCAGCGCUGGAUCCUUAACCCACUGAGCAAGGGCAGGGACCGAACCCGCAACGUCAUGGUUCCUAGUCGAAUUCGUUAACCACUGCGCCACGAUGGGAACUCCUCAUAUAUAUCUGUUGGGAACUCUGGCUUUGUGCAGGGCACUGGAGCCCCAGGAUGAAACAGAUACAGACCCUGACUUCUCGGAGCUUGCAGUUUAGACAGGGGUUGCACACUCACACAGAUAAGUACUUGUAUAAUUACAUUUGGGAUGUGUGCUCCGGAAGGAAACAACCCAGGACAAGGGAUGGGGCCACCAGGGGAGGCCUCUCUGAAGAGGUGAUGAGGUGCCGUGGAGAGAGGGCCAGCGAAGCCAGCAGACCAUGAGGAUCUGGUUCCCCUUCCCGGCCACUUCCCCUUUAGUCUUCGCAUCUGACAAGAAGGGAAAUCCCCUUUUGGUUUUAACUUUCUGUGACCAUAAUACAUCCUAUCAGAGUUCAUAGGAAGCAGAGUUCUCCACUGCCUGAGAGGGGUCAGGGGAGACUUCUCACUGAUAUCACAUUGACCUUGAGUCACAAGUGAGCUCUAGCUCCAUUCAAUUCUGGACCAGAUAACUUGUUGAGCAUAUACCAUAUACAGCCAACAUAGAGAGGUGUAGGGGUGUUGUGUGUGAGCGUUGGGGGGGGAGGAAUUGUGGUAGUGAUGGAGGUGGGUGUUUAAAGAUUUAAAAUAAGAUAGGACUUCUGAAGGAAUUUACAGUCUGAUCUACUCUCAGAUCUAGGAUAGGAUCAUUUCAAUAAAUAAUGAUGUGCAAAGACAGCCACAUAGCCACAGCUCUGGGAAUGGAGCACUGGCUUCAGAGGCAAGGUCUGGGCUGGACGCCUUGCCCUACACUCCCUGCCCUGCUGGGGCACACAAAGCUCCCUGGUGUGUUCAAAAGGGGCUCCUGGGGAGCCCUGAGCUGAGACAAGCUUGGGGUGUCAGCCAGAAGGGACUAGAAGGGUAUCUGGGAAGAGUAAUCAGUGUGAAGAUGGGAGCAAGCUGGAAGGGAAGACAUUUGAGACCAAAGACGAAAAGCAUCUAUGGUGCAUCCCAUAGAGCACCUAGGUGAAGUCAAUUAUACCAGCGCUGAAGGAAUAAUCCAAACCCAAAAGAGCAGUUUAAGGAGUGCAAGCGACCCCCAUUCUCCUCCCUAGGGGCCAAGGAUUUCAUGCCCCAGAGGGGGCACCAGAUGGGACAAGACAGAAAUCUGCUGUUACCUCUGCCAGUCUCACUUCCAGGUCUGUGUGUCUGUUUCUCUUUAGCGUGAUUGAAAAUACUGGAAAUUAUAUGCUUAAACUUUGUUGACGUUCUCUUUAUGCUCCACGGUAUGUGGCUGUAUAUAUUUUGCACAUCUACAUACAUAUUACUGUACAAAGUUAUAUACACAAAGCCAGGCAUACUGUACUUUAUGGAAAAUUUAAGAGCGUUUCAGAGGUAAUUAGAACCAUCUGUGAUUUCCCCCUCCUGGCUUUGGGAAGGAGAUGAAGCUUGAGAUAGACAAGGGCCUGCCCUAGAGGCUUGCAAGGCCAACGUAAGAAGCCAGACUUGCUCUAAAAGGCAGUGGGAGCUAUUAAAAGAGUUACCUCCUCAAGCAAAGAGUAAAUCCCAAACCAGUUCGGUCCACACCUCAGCUCUGCGCCUCACUUUCUCCAUCUGUAAAGGAAAACCUUGUCAGCCAUAGUGUGGGGGCUGCAGGACUACAGGUCAACUUUGGCAAUGGAGGCCCAGGCUGAGGGGGCUUUCUGCAGCCUUGGCAAAACCCUGAGACAUUGUUGCCAAGUCUGAAUAUCAUUCCUGGCCUCCAAGGCUGACCACCUCUGGACUUGGUCCCUCAAGACUUGGAUCCUAUUCCCUGGGGAAGGAGAUUGGUGAAGCUUCUGCAGGCCCGCUGAUGUCCUUCUUUCCUGGGCCAGAGACUCUGAAAACUUACUGGGAGAGUGAGGCAACACACCUUAUUGUGCAGCCCUCAGCAAAUGCGGCAGCUGCACCGAGUGCUAAAGAAAAGCUCCCAUAAUAACCAUGUGUGAUAAUAAAAAGAUAAAGAGGCAAAUAGGUAUGUAGGUCAGCUCAAAAAUAGCCACCCACCCAUGGGCCUAGGUAACCAUUUGUUCCAAGUGGGUCCAAAGGGUUUCUUCCUUCCCCUCCCAAGCUGACCUUCCCUGCUUUUUAAUAAGGCUGCCUUAAAUCAAAGUCCCUUCCUGCACUAGCUGGUGGGCCGUUCUGACCUGCAGCCCUACAGGCGCAGGCAGUGCUCCCUGCACUCCCGCCACCAAACAAAUCCUGGGGUCAGAGGGCGCAAGGGCUCAGCCACUCUGACGUGGGUUCUUGGGUCUAAGUCGGGGUUUAGGGUGGUGACUCAUAGACACUCCCCCGCCCACCCCCAAAGGGUUCCGCGUGCACCCAGGAGCCUCCGCAACCCCAACAGAGGCCGCUUUGUUAGCGGACCCGUUUGAGGAGAGUUACGGCCUCAGGGUUGAGAGGCCCUCCUCGGCCUCUCCUCCCUCCCCCUCUCUCCGCUCGUCCGCCCUCACCCAGAAAGGCGCCGGCUCCUCGCCCAGCCCCCACCCAGCAGCCCGGCGGCGGUAGAGCUGAGCUCAGCAUCUCUGCAGCGGG